rnacentral:rRNA from 1 species
UACGUAGGGUGCGAGCGUUGUCCGGAAUUAUUGGGCGUAAAGCGCUUGUAGGCGGUUUGUUGCGUCUGGUGUGAAAAUCCGGGGCUCAACCCCGGACUUGCAGUGGGUACGGGCAGACUAGAGUGUGGGAGGGGAGACUGGAAUUCCUGGUGUAGCGGUGAAAUGCGCAGAUAUCAGGAGGAACACCGAUGGCGAAGGCAGGUCGCUGGGCCACUACUGACGCUGAGAAGCGAAAGCAUGGGGAGCGAACAGG